ACUUUCCACAAUUUUCGAAUUUCUAUCGAAUAUUCCGUGAACAACAAAAAGGGAAAAAAAUCUUAUUUCUGCGGAAACCUAAUUCUCUUUCUCUCUUUAGCCUCGCUCGAGUGAUUUCGAGCAGAAGAAAACCGAUUUCUGCAAUUUUUGUUUAGAUUUUUGAAUCUUCAUAGUUUAUUAUGGUUCGAUCGUUAUGAUGCAACGCUUCGAUGAGUUCUAAAUCUUCCUUCUCAGAAGAUAAUCUACAGAACCAAACACAAACCAGGUGUAUGAUAUGAUUUUUGUUUGAAGAUAAAGAGACGUGAAGAACAAAGAUGAGAGAUGUGAAGGGGUGUAUGAUUUAGUUGAAUUUUCAAUUAGGUAAAGUAAUUUUUUUGUUUUUUGUUUUUUGUUUUGGUCAAUCAGCUGAUUCUAGGGUUUUGACUGUAAAUUGAAUUUUAGGGGUUUUGAUUGAAAGGGUUUUAGUUGAAAUAACGAAUUCAGCUUUCCCUUUUAGUUUGCAUUCGUUCAUCGGGUUCUGUAAUCAUGGUAAGUCGAUAUCAACCCGAUUUUAUGUUUUUGUUUCAAUUUUUAUAUUACCGUCUGAGUUACAUUAACAACCCACAAGUCUUACUGCCAGAAAAGCAAACCAGGUGUAUGAUAUGAUUUUUGUUUGAAGAUAAAGAGACGUGAAGAACAAAGAUGAGAGAUGUGUGAUUUAGUUGAAUUUUCAAUUAGGUAAAGUAAUUUUUUUGUUUUUUGUUUUGAUCAAUCAGCUGGGGAAAACAUGAAAAGUGGGUAUUGUAAAUUCAAUAAUUUUGAUCUUGGGUUUUGUUAUUCAGCACAUCCGGUCUGCAAGUAGAGCAGUUUGGUCAUCUGCAUUAUGCUAAUAGAGAACCGAUUGAACUGCCAGCACAUAUUUCUUUAUACAGUCAGAUUCAAUGAAGUAUGAACAGAUUAAUUUUGAGGUUUGAAUAACAAAUUAAUACUUGGUUUCUUAUAUCGAUAUCCAGUUUGGGAAUUUUGUAGCUGAAUGGUAGAUGUGGAUGUUUUUGAAAGACUUGGAAGAUGGAGAUAACAUGGCAUGAUGGGUACAAAGUGGUUCACCGAAAUAGCUCGAUGGUUUGCUGAUUUUAGUCAAGUCUUGGUAGUGAAUGGCAGUAACAUGUUUCGUGUGAUCGUUUUCAACACAAUUGUCGUUUGUUUAGGUGCUGAGAUAAGGAGAGGGUUUUGCUAACCGUUUCUUCUUCAUUACGGGUGAUAAUCAGUCAUAUCCAGAUACAGGACAUGUGCAUUGUUGGUAUCAAUAAUCGUGUUAGUCGUGGUGUCUUGGAAUGUGUUGGGCUGCUGGGAUUGGUUAUAGGAGACAAUGAAACCACUGCAAAGCCAAUUGCAAGGGAAUGUAGGGUUUUGUCAGAUGGGGGUAUCGCAAUUGAAGAUCCAAUAUUGGGGAGAAGUUUUUGGAAGAAUUAGAAAAACUAAAUCAAGAAAUUCCGGCGUUCUAUGGAGAACACAAUCUUUGACCAGCAAACUUGAUACUGGAAUGUUUCUAUGGAGAACAACUGCGAGGAAAAGCUGAGCAUCUUAGGAGUACUGCAUUAGCUGAUACAUUAUCCAGAUGAAUGGUCUAUAAUUAUAAAUUUACGAUGGACAAUGGAGCGAGUAGACACAGCUCAUCAGUGUCUUCAUUCCAGAAUGAGCAUUAUAUUUGCAUAAGCAUUAGUAAUACGGUUCUUCACAAAAUCUUGGAGGUCUUUUGACAUGAUUUGGUCCUUUGAAUUCCUUUGCAAUUAGUUAUGGACCAUGGUUAGAUCAAGAUGAUCAUCAAAGGGCUUACAGUUGAUGACUGAGGGAACAUUAACGUAGAUGAUAUCACCAACAUGGGCGAGCGAAGCCGUGCAACACCAAAUCAAAAAUGUAUCGGAACAGGGCGAGGCGAAGCCGAGCCACACCUAAUAAAAAAUGUAUAAUGACGGGGCAGGAUAUAGCCGUGGAACACCAAAUCAAAAAUGCAUUUGGACGGGGCGAGGUGAGGCGAAGCCGAAGCCGAGCCACACCUAAUCUAAAAUGUAUCGUGGCGGGGAGAAGGCACAUCACACCGAAUCAAAAGUAUAGUUAAAAUUAAAAAAGAAAAUGAUAAUGGAUGGUUUUCAGGUGGACACGGUUGAUUUUCACGGACCACAUUGAUUUUGACCUUGAUACCAUUGGUGGACACGGUUGUAUAUUGAAUUUUUCCCAAAUUUACAAUUUAGAAUGUGAGUUGUAGAGUGACCAAAUCAAAAAUUCACGACAUGCCAAAAUUUUGUUCGGAGCCACGUAUACCGUGGAUGUAAUAUUUGUAUUUUUUUUUUGUACAGCAAAACAUAACUUCUAAUGACGCAAAACAUAAGUUCAUGACA